rnacentral:rRNA from 1 species
GAUGAACGCUAGCUACAGGCUUAACACAUGCAAGUCGAGGGGCAGCAUGAACUUAGCUUGCUAAGUUUGAUGGCGACCGGCGCACGGGUGAGUAACACGUAUCCAACCUGCCGAUGACUCGGGGAUAGCCUUUCGAAAGAAAGAUUAAUACCCGAUGGCAUAGUUCUUCCGCAUGGUAGAACUAUUAAAGAAUUUCGGUUAUCGAUGGGGAUGCGUUCCAUUAGGCAGUUGGUGAGGUAACGGCUCACCAAACCUUCGAUGGAUAGGGGUUCUGAGAGGAAGGUCCCCCACAUUGGAACUCGUGUCUACAG